ncrna:unclassified sequences Bacilli-1 RNA
AUUCACAGUAAUGUGAACAUAUAGCAACAGUAACGCUAUGUGGUUUGGCAAAAGUGAACUACCCCU